rnacentral:rRNA from 1 species
GACGACGCUGGCGGCAGGCCUAAAACAUGCAAGUCGAACGCGUGGCGGACGGGUGAGUAAUGUCUGGGAAACUGCCUGAUGGAGGGGGAUAACUACUGGAAACGGUAGCUAAUACCGCAUACCAUCGGAUUGGCCCAGAUGGGAUUAGCUAGUAUGUGGGGUAAAGGCUCACCUAGGCGACGAUCCCUAGCUGGUCUGAGAGGAUGACCAGCCACACUGGAACGGAGACACGGUCCAGACUCCUACGGGAGGCAGCAGUGGGGAAUAUUGGACAAUGGGCGCAAGCCUGAUGCAGCCAUGCCGCGUGUAUGAAGAAGGCCUUCGGGUUGUAAAGUACUUUCAGCGGGGAGGCGUUACCCGCAGAAGAAGCACCGGCUAACUCCGUGCCAGCAGCCGCGGUAAUUC